rnacentral:lncRNA from 10 species
AUUUAUUGGAUACAUGGUGAUUAAAGGCAGACCUAUUUUUUCAUGUCUGAUGGGGGAUGGGAUACAGACAUCAAAUAAUCCCAUGUACAAUAAUAAUAGAUAUCACUUAUACAGUGCCUAUUACAUGCCAGGCAUGUUCUCAGUACUUUACAUAAAUUAACAAAAUCACACUCUGAGGAGGUACUCUUAAUAUCUUCACCUGAUAAGUAAGGAAAUUGAGGUAUAGAGAGGUUAAGAAACUUGCCCAAGGUCAUAUAGCUAGUCCAGGCAGGCUGACACCAGGGUCUACGUUUGAACCACCCACUCGACUGCCUUCAUGCAGUACUCUAUGGCAUGAAUACAUUUACAAAUAUAAGUGCCAUGAAGGGAAGACAGGUGGUGCUAUAAGAACAUAUAACAAGGGCAUCCCACCUGUAGCAGGGGACAUCUAGAGGUUGAGUGGGUGUCAUCUAAGCAAAAAGAGGGAGGAAGACAGAGGUGGACACAAAACUGGUCACAGCUGAAGGGUAAGUAUGGAACCAUUAGCCACCUGGAUGCAGGAAUUCAUUGAUGGACUGGGGAGAGCAGUAUGUGUGGGAAGCUAUCAGGGAAGGUCUCAGGGAAGAGGCAAAUCUGGAGAAGGCAAAGUUUGAACCCUCUAAACUGGUUUAGAGAGGAGUGAUAUAGUUUGGAUAUUUGUCUCCCAUGCGAUCUCCAACACUGGAGGUGGGACCUGGUGGGAGGUGUUUGGGUCAUGGGGGUGAAUCUUUUUGGAAUGGCUUGGUGUCCUUGCCACAGUAAUGAAUUAAUUUUUGCUUUAUUAGUUACCACGAGAUCUGAUUGCCAAAAAAAGAGAAGUCUCCCUCCCCUCUCUCUUGCUCCCUCUCUCGCCAUAUGACACACCUGCUCUCCCUCCGCCUUCCGCCAUGAGUUAAAGCUUCUUGUGGCCUCACCAGAAGCUGAGCAGAUGCUGGUGCCAUGCUUGUGUAGCCUGCAGAACUGUGCGCCAAAUAAAUCUCUUUUCUUUAUAAAUUACCGAGUCUCAGGUAUUCCUUUACAGCAAUGCAAAAUGGAUUAAACACAGACAAAGAAGAGAGGAAAAGGAAAUAUCAAAGAUUCAAAAUGAGCCUAAUGAAUUUCAGGGACAGGAAGAGACUGAUGUAUUAGGAUUCUUUCAGUUGUAACUAGUAGACAUCCAGUUUGAACUGGCCAAAGAAAUGAAGACUAUACUGGCUUGAGUUACUAAAAAGCCCAGGAUUUAGAUCCGGUAGUGAGUGGAUAAAUGAAUUUGUUAGGAUCUCUCUCAUUUCUCAGCUCCAUUUUCCUAUGUUGGCUUCAUUCUCAGGUAGUGGAAAGAUGGCUGCUGUAGAUGAAUAUCUUAUCAGCUCAGCAAACUCAGGAAGGGGAGCAUUUCUUUCCCAAAAGUACCAGGACUAAGUCUCAUUGGCUCAGCUCAUAUUACACCCUCUUUGCUGAACCAGUCACUCUGGCUGGGUCAUAAGGCACUGUCAUUGGCCAGGCCUGGAUCAUGUGCCU